UGUAUGUCCAUACAACAUCUUGGCUUUCACCAUUCGUCGUUACUGGUGCCGCAAAGCUUAUCGCACUCUUUGCUACC
rnacentral:tRNA from 1 species